UGAGCAAUCUGCCCUUCUCAUCGGAAUAAGCGUUGGAAACGACGUCUAAUGCCGAAUACGACCUCCUUUCGCAUGAUCGGAGGUGGAAAGCUCCGGCGGAGAAGGAUGAACUCGCGGCCUAUCAGCUAGUUGGUGUGGGUAAUGGCCCACCAAGGCGACGACGGGUAGCCGGCCUGAGAGGGUGACCGGCCACACUGGGACUGAGACACGGCCCAGACCUCCGUACGGGAGGNAGCG
rnacentral:rRNA from 1 species